rnacentral:rRNA from 1 species
AUGUCAUCUCUCAAGCCAAUCAGCCCAGUACGGGUGACUGGUGCAUUUUCUAUAGCGCUUUCCCCGUUUUUGGCGUCACGGUGGAUUAUGAAUGACAGUUGUCCGAAGCAGGAAGACAAUGGAGAUGACAGGCUCAGCAACUUGCCUGAACAUAUUUUGCUUACCAUCAUUGAUCGACUUGAUAUCCGCGAGGCUGCAAGAACCAGUGUCCUUUCUGGCCGGUGGCGGCACCUCCCUGCUAUGCUCUCUCGACUUGUGAUAAAUGUUUGGGACUUCUUAGACGCGUUCAAUUGCAACAAUGAUGAAAUUGUUCGGGGCAACGAAGCUGUGGUUAAAGUGACAAAGAGCAUCCUGGCACGCAGAGAUUUAAGCCGAAAUGCCAUCCAGUUUCUGUGCAUGACGUUCUUCUUGAGAGAAGAUGAUCCAAUAUCCAUUGGGCAUGCUGUUGCUCACGCCAUGGCAACCCAGAAGGUUGAGAUAGCUGAGUUCAUAAUUUUCACGGAGAGGGAUGAUACCCACUGCGACGACGAUGAUCUUGUCAAUUACGGGCGACAAUUCAUGCUAUUCUUCGGUGCAUGUUCCAAUGCAUUUGGUGGUCUCACACGUCUUAACCUAGAGAAUUUGAGAUUCGGGGAAUCAGACAUCCCUAACAUCCUCAACAUUUGCAAACGGUUAAAUCAUCUACGCCUGUUCAAUUGUGACUCAGGAAAUUCGACCAUGUUGCAAGUUGAGCACACACAACUCAUUGAGCUUGCUAUUGUUGAUUGUUCUUUUGAAAGAGUUGAGCUCAGCUCACUUCCGAAACUCACACGGAUCAUCUUUGAGGGUUGGAUCUCUUUCCAAGAUCCACUAUCUUUUGGUUAUGUCCCGUUGCUUGAUGUUGUAAGCCUCACAAAUGUUGGCCUUAGUUGGCACAAGAUGGUCAGGUUAAGUAAGUUUCUUCGGGAUACUAUCUCUGUGAGACAGUUGCAGCUGGGAUUUAAGUCCGAAAAGAUUUGGGUUCAACCAGAAUGUCUGACGGGAAGGAUGGCAUCCGUGUUUGACCAAAUGCGGUUUGUGAAUCUAGCUAAUAUUCCUGAGGGGUAUGAUCUCACCUGGACAUUGUUCAUUCUUAAAGCUGCGCCAAUCCUGAAGGAGCUAUACUUGAGUGUAUGGGAUCAUCUGUGUAUAAUGGAAACAGAUGCAAAGGAGAGGAAGUCACUCUCGUAUAGUGAGGAUAAAGGUGCACAGUGGGAAUCAUCUGCAACUGAUUUCCAGCAUCACAGUCUGGCCACGCUCGUCAUCUUCGGGUUUCAAGCUCGAGACUACAUGAUGAACUAUGUCAAGCGUGCCAUGCAAAUAUCGGUCAAUCUAAAGGAUGUGUUCUUGUAUGAUCGGUUGACAUGUGACAAGUGCUACGGCAAGCUUCCAAAGCCGUCGGAGUUUCCGCCUAAGUGGCAGCAAGGCUGUGUGAAGGAGAUAAUCACCAAGAGGAUCAAUUCGUCUGCCAUAAUUCACUUCCAUACCGUCGCCAAUUCAAGGGAUGAUCAUCUCGACAAAAUGUGGUUCCUGUAG